GGCGGUUUCUCUGCAGUUUUUAAACACUCUUCUGCUAAAUUUAAUCUAAAUUCCAGACUAAACUUCAAUCUAAAUAAAAAAAAGAUGGGUCUCAAGCAAGAAGAUAUACUUCUCAAUAACAGCACGAAGAACUUAAAUGCUUCUGAGAUAGCAGUGGACAAGCAAAAGCUUGCUGCUCCAAUCAAAACAGCUGUCGACAAGUUUUAACUUCUCCCGGAGUUUUUAAAGGUUAGAGGGUUAGUGAAGCAGCACUUGGAUUCAUUUAAUUAUUUCGUUAAUACUG